AAGUCGUAACAAGGUUUCCGUAGGUGAACCUGCGGAAGGAUCAUUAACACGUAUCCACGUAUAUACCUCUUGUGAACUUAUUAUUGUAUGUAGUUGUCUCUAAGAUAUGUCUGAGGAAGUAGAUGGCCAUGUCGUCAGUCAAAAAAAAAUAAUAUUUUUUUUGGCUAUCGUUCUACUUGCCUAUCCACCUUUGCUGAGUACUAGUGUUUCGAGGUUGUUCCACAGCUUUUUGUGAGUUCAUCCCUGCUAGUCAUACACUCCUUAGGAUUGGGUAUCUGAGAUGACUCGAAUCAUGGUGGUUAUUAAACCUAUUAACCCCUUCUAUCUAAAUUUUUUGUUGUAUAUUUUUUUUUCGGUAAGGUGUUUUUACAUCUGGCCUAAAAAAAAUAAAAAAAUUAACACUAUACAACUCUUAGCAACGGAUAUCUCGGUUCU
rnacentral:misc_RNA from 1 species